CUUAUCUUUCCUUUUCGCUCUUUUUCAGCUCGUUUUGCUUCUUUUUGUCUCAGCAAUUUUUGUACCUGCAAAACAUGGGAAUUAGUGAUUUAAGUUACAAAAUAUUCUCAUUCAUACCUUUCGAGCGUAGUAGUGUGCGCUAAUUCGGAUAUUGAUGAGUGGCAAAUUCACCACUCAUCACCUACUUGAUUGGGAAUAAGGAACUAGGCCACCUGAGCUUUAAUUCCAUGGGUAUGGUGUUAAACACCAUAUGUAUUUUUAAACUCGACCAUGUCCGCAAAUCCAUCAAAUAGUUGUUUUCUUAAAGCUCUAUAAGAACACAACUAGAAGUACAAUAGAGAAGAAGAAGAAUACUACUGACAAAUCAACUGCGAAUGCAAUAAUUUUUUGGCCAACAGUAAGUGCAAACCUUUUCUUAUCAUCAGAAUAUUCAUCAUCUCGAAGUUUCCUAAUAUGAGAGAUGGUAGGCUUUGUCAUACUUUUCAAAGUGAAGUACAUCAGUUUUAGAUAUUUUUUGUUGAGUUGGUUUAAAUAUAUCGGCUGGACACAAAUUUUGGACUUAAACAAAGUCCUUUUUAAAAAAAAUUCUUUUGAACAAUACAAAUGUUAUAUACUUGAAAUUUAUGUAAAAAUUAAGAUAUAUUUCUUAAUCAAAUUGAGAAACGAAAAAUUAUAAUUUAUAAUACUUUUCAUGUAAUUUUUUAAUAUUCCUCUUUAAUCAACUACACUUUAUUAUCUUAAAAAAUAUAUGUUUUAUUUUAUUUUUUAAAAAAUUAAUAUAAUAACGUAUAAAUAACUAAUAUAUUUUUUAUAUACACUUAUUAUUAAUUAGUGUAUAUAAAAUUUAGAAAAUAAGUAUAAUGACUAAAUACUAUUUAAAAAUUAAUUCAAAUCACCUGAAUUUAUAGGAAAAAACAAGACAACAUGAAUCGAAAUAUCAUAAAAACACACUGCUUUUACAAUUUGGAAAUAAGUAUAAUGACUUAAUCCCUCUUUAACUACACUUUAUUAUCUUCAAAAUUAUACAUUCUCUUUUCAAAUUUUUUUACUUAAUAAAAUAACGUACACACAACGAAUAUAUUUUUUUACACACUUAUUCUUAAUUAAUGUUUAUAAAAUUUAGAAAAUAAGUAUAAUGAUUAAAUCCUAUUUAGAAAUUAAUUUGAAUUACCUAAACUUAUAGGAAAAAAUAAAUAACAUGAAUUGAAAUGUUGUAAAAACAUAGUGCUUUUACAUUUGGAAAAUAAGUAUAGUGACUUAAUUCCUCUUUAAACAACUGCACUUUAUUAUCUUCAAAAUUAUACCAUUCUCUUUUUAAAUUUUGUUACUUAGUAAAAUAACGUACACUUAACGAUUGUAAUUUUUAAAUACUUUUAUUCUUAAUUAACACUUGGUACAUGUGCAACACAUGUACACUAAUCUAGUAUAUUUAUAAUCUAUAAUAUUUUAAAAUUGUAAAAACCCUUUAAAAAGUGAAUUUGUUAUGAUAUAUAUCAAUUCUAGUGACGGUCUAUCAAGAUCUAUUUGAUGUUAUCUUUUAGUAUGAAACUAGGGCAAAUUCCCCCUAUAAAUAAAAGGGUUUCCUUCAUUGUAAAUCAUUCCUCAAGAGAAGAAAUAACAAUUACUCUCUCUAUUCUCUCUACUCUUCUUCUUUAUUCUUUCUUGUUUUAUAACACGUUAUCAGCACGAGACUCUACCGUCUCAAAUUUAAAGGCUAAGGCUAAGGUAUUAUUUUUUUUAUUUCUUUCUUGUUCCAUAUGACUAACAAUCUUAUGAAGUGUGAGUUCGUUGCCCUUUAAAGUUCGGGCAAGAACUAUAUUUCAUGGGUGUUGGAUGCUGAAAUCCACCUAGAUGCUAUGGGUCUUGGAGAUGCCAUAAAGAAUAAAAAUACAGCAUCUAGUCAAAAUCGUGCUAAGGCUAUGAUUUUCCUGUGUCAUCAUCUUGAUGAAGUUCUAAAAAUUGAGUACCUUACUACUAAGGAUCCACUCGUAUUGUGGAAUAUCCUAAAAGAAAGGUUUGACCACUUAAAGAUGUCAUCCUCCUAAAAGCACGAUAUGAUUGGAUACAUCUAAGAUUUCACGACUACAAGUUUGUUUAUGAAUACAAUUCUACCAUAUUUAGAAUUUAUUCUCAAUUGAAACUUUGUGGAGAGAUGAUCAAUGAUAAUGAUAUGAUAGAAAAGACGUUUUCCCCUUUUCAUGCCUCGAAUGUGCUCUUACAACAACAAUAUCGAGAAAAAGAUUUCAAGAAGUAUACUGAAUGAGUUCUCAUCUUCUAGUGGCCGAACAAAAUAAUGAUUUGUUGAUGAAAAAUCACAAGAACCGACCAACUGGAUCUGCACCAUUCCCUGAGGUGAAUGAUAUGCACGCUCACCAUGCUAGGCGUGGAAAGGUCGUGGCCUUGGUCGUGGACAUGGUCGUGGACGUGGUUGUGGACGUGGUCGUGGUUGUGGUCGUGAUGACCAAGAAAGAAACCCUGUUCCGGGUGUUAAUAAUUCAUUAAACAAAAGAAGAAAAAAUGAGAAACGUGAAGCAGUUACUUGUUUUCGAUGUGGCAAAUAAGGACAUUAUUCGCGUGAUUGUCAUGCGCUCAAGCACUUGGUUGAUCUUUAUCAAGCAUCACUAAAGAAGAAAGAGAGAAAUCCCGAGGCUAACUUUCUCUCUGAAAAUACUAUUGACAUCACAUGUUUGGAUGUAACAGACUUUUUCGAGCACCCUAAAGGAAAGAUUGAUCACUUGAUUGGUGAUGGUUCCGUAAACAUGAAAGAAUGAAUGUUUUUAAUUUUGUUUUAUUUUUAUUGAUAAUAGUUAGUGAAUAAAGAAUCAUGUAAAAGUAGUUGUUUGCAUGAGUAUUAGUAUUUGAUUAAUAUUGAUUAGUUCAAUUAUAUUUUUGUAGUUUAUUAUUGAUUGAAUUGAAUUUUAAUUUUAAUUUUAUUAUUAUUUAAUAAAAAAAAUAGAUGAUAGUACAGAGGUUUAAUUUUCGCAUGAAAACAAUACGUGGAGUGCUUGUUUUGCAUUCAUUACAAUGCAAAAUUAUCAUUCUUUACAAUGUUGUGCAAAUAAUAUGAUUAAGAUUGCAUUCUGUAAUGUAUUCUUUAUAUUAACAUUCUUUAAUAUAAUAAUAUUCUCAUAUGAUUAUGUAAUAUAAUAAUAUUAUUAUAUUCUCAUUUCGUAAUACAAUUACAAUUGCAUCUCGUACUAAUUGGAUAUAUUUCUUUUUAGUUACUUAGUUAAAGUAUGAUUAAUACUUUUUUUUAUAUUAUAAGUUUUCACUUUGUACAAAGAUUUAAUAUAUAUUUUAUUUGGUGCAUGUUAUUUUAUUUAAAGAUAUGGAUAAUUUUCAAGAAGAUAUUUGUUUGAUUGAUUCAGGCACUACACAUUCGAUAUUCAAAGACAAGAAAUAUUUUUCUCAUCUAAAUAUGGACAAGAUUAAUGUUACUAUAAUUUUUGGUAGUGCUGAUUUGAUUGAAGGUUUCGGAAAAGCCAUUAUAAUCUUGCCCAAGGGAACUAAACUCAUCAUAAAUAAUGUUAUGUUCUCUCCCAAGUCUCAGAGAAACUUGAUGAGUUUUAAAGAUACCCGUGAAAAUAGUUAUCAUAUCAAGACAUUUGAUGAGAUGAAUCUUGAAUAUAUUGGUAUCACCAAGAAUGUCUUUGGGCAGACAUGUGUAGUUGAAAAGUUCCCUGCUUUAUCUUCUGGCCUGUAUUGGACAAAGAUUUAUGCAAUUGAGGCGCAUUCCAUAGUAAACCGGAAGUUUACUGAUUCCAAUACUUUCGUACUUUGGCAUGAUCGUCUGGGAUAUCCAAGAUCAAUAAUGAUGAGACGAAUAAUAGAAAAUUCAAAUGGGCAUCCAUUAAAGAACUUGAAGGUUCUUUUGAAUGGUGAAUUUUUAUAUAAUACUUGUUAUCAAGGCAAGUUGAUUGUGAGACCAUCGCCAACAAAAGUUGGUAUUGAGUCCCCCGCGUUCUUAGAACGCAUACGUGGGGACAUUUGUGGACCAAUUCACUCACUAAGUGGGUCGUUUAGAUACUUCAUGGUCCUAAUAGAUGCUUCUUCUAGAUGGUCUCAUGUGUGCCUUUUGUCAUCUCUCAACUUGGUAUUUGCAAAAUUGUUGGCACAAAUAAUACGAUUACGGACACAAUUUCCUGAUAAUCAAAUCAAGUCUAUCCGCCUUGAUAAUGCUGUAGAAUUUUCAUCCCAAGCAUUUAAUGACUAUUACUUAUCGAUCGGGAUAAGAGUGGAACAUCCUAUACCGCAUGUUCACACUCAAAAUGACCUUGCUGAGUCAUUAAUUAAAUAUUUGCAGUUGAUAGCAAGACCAUUACUAAUGAAAACUAAGUUGCCCACUUCUGUUUGGGGUUAUGCAAUUUUGCAUGCUGCAAAUUAUCAUAAAUUUUCUCCGUUGCAAUUAUUCUGGGUCAAGAGCCUAAUAUAUCUCAUUUAAGAAUUUUUGGGGACGGUGUUUAUGUGCCAAUAGCACCACCAAACUGCACCAAGAUGGGCCCCCAAAGAAAGUUAGGAAUUUAUGUUGGGUUUGAAUCACCCUCUAUAUUCGCUAUCUUGAACCAUUAACGGGAGAUAUGUUCACUGCUCGAUUUGCAGAUUGUUGGUUUGAUAAGAUACUUUUCCCAAAAUUAGGGGGAGAAGAUAGUGACAUCAAAAGAGAAAUUUUGUGAAAAAAUUCAUCACUAUCUCAUCUUAAUCCACAUGCUUCUAUUUGUGAGCAAGAAGUACAAAAGAUUAUUCAUCUGUAGAGAAUUGCAAAUCAAAUGCCGGACACUUUUACAGAUUUGAAAAGGAUCGCUAAAUCACAUAUUCCUACAGAGAAUGUCCCAAUUCGAAUUGAUGUCCCUAAAGGACCAUCCACUAGUGUCAUAGCUAAUGAAUCUAAAGUACGCUUGAAGCGUAGCAGACUAUUAGGUUCUAAGGAUCGAAAUCCUAGAAAAAGAAAAGCAAAUGGUCAAGAUGACACUACAAAAGAUCCACAUACGAAGUUCGAGAUUUGAGCAAUGUUGAUAUCCCUGAAGGAAUCAAUGAGCCUGAGACUCAAGAAAAUGAGGAACUAUCCAUAAAUUCAAGUGAUGUUGAAACUAAUCUGAAUCGAUUUGAAAUAAUAGUGGAUUAUGUCUUUGCAUAUAAUGUUGCAACAAAAAUCAUGCAAGAUAGCGAGGAUCUUGAACCUCGAUCUGUCACAGAAUGUCGACAAAGAAAUGACUGGCUAAAAUGGCAAGAAACAAUUCAAUCUGAAUUGAAUUCGCUCGCCAAACAUGAAGUUUUUGGACCCAUAGCUCAAACACCAAAUGGUGUUAAGCUUGUUGGCUAUAAAUGGGUCUUUGUGCGAAAAAGAAAUGAANNNNNNNNNNNNNNNNNNNNNNNNNNNNNNNNNNNNNNNNNNNNNNNNNNNNNNNNNNNNNNNNNNNNNNNNNNNNNNNNNNNNNNNNNNNNNNNNNNNNNNNNNNNNNNNNNNNNNNNNNNNNNNNNNNNNNNNNNNNNNNNNNNNNNNNNNNNNNNNNNNNNNNNNNNNNNNNNNNNNNNNNNNNNNNNNAAGGAUUUUCACAACGGUCUGGUGUCGAUUAUGAUGAGACAUAUUCACCAGUUAUGGAUGUAAUAACAUUGCGUUAUCUUAUUAGUUUCACUAUCCAUGAGAGACUUGAAAUGCAUUUGAUGGAUGUGGUAACAGUCUAUCUAUAUGGAUCACUUGAUAAUGAGAUAUACAUAAAAAUUUGCCAAAAGUAUAGUUCAAGGCCUCGGGAAAUGUAUUCCAUUAGAUUGCAAAGAUCAUUGUAUGGUUUGAAGCAAUCUGGAUGCAUGUGGUAUAACCGUCUUAGUGAAUAUUUAUCUAAAGAAGGUUAUACGAAUGAUGAAAUUUGUCCAUGUGUUUUCAUAAAAAAAACAACGUCGGAGUUUANNNNNNNNNNNNNNNNNNNNNNNNNNNNNNNNNNNAAUAGAGCUUCAAAAGGCAAUUGAUUACCUAAAGAAAGAGUUUAAGAUGAAAGAUCUAGGAAAGACAAAGUUAUGCCUUGGUUUGCAAAUUGAGCAUUUGACAAACGGUAUCUUUUUCCAUCAAUCUGCCUACACAGAAAAGGUGUUAAAACGAUUCUAUAUGGAUGGAGUACAUCCAUUAAGUACUCCGAUGAUUAUUCGAUCACUUGAUGUGAAUAAGGAUCCAUUUCAACCUCAAGAAAAGAAUGAGGAACUCCUUGGUCCUGAAAUACCAUAUCUUAGUGCAAUUGGUGCACUAAUGUAUCUUGCAAAUACUACAAGGCCUGAUAUUGCCUUUUCAGUAAAUUUCCUAGCAAGGUAUAGUUCUGCUCCUACUAGGAGACAUUAGAAUGGGAUCAAACACAUAUUACGGUAUCUAAAGGGGACUACCAUAUGGGCUUAUUUUUUCUAAAGAUUGCAAUUUCAAUCUUGUUGGUUAUGCUAAUGCUGGAUACUUAUUCGACCCGCAUAAAGCUCGGUCUCAAAUAGGCUAUGUAUUCAUAUGUGGGGGUACUGCCAUAUCUUGGAGAUCAACAAAGCAGUCUAUCGUAGUCACUUUAUCGAAUCACGUUGAGAUUAUAGCUAUUCAUGAAGCAAGCAGAGAGUGUGUGUGGUUGAUGUCCAUAAUACAUCUCAUUCGAGAAUAAUGUGGCUUGAAAUGUGACAAAGUACCUAUAAUUUUAUAUGAAGAUAAUGCAGCAUGCAUAGCACAACUGAAAGGUGGAUUCAUAAAAGGAGAUAGAACGAAGCACAUUUCGCCAAAGCUCUUAAAGGAGAUAGAAUAAAGCAUAUUUUGCCAAAGCUCUUCUAUACACAUGAACUCCAAAAGAAUGGUGAUAUUGACACACAACAGAUUCGUUAAAGUGACAAUGUGGCUGAUUUAUUCACCAAGUCUCUUUCAACUGCAACUUUCAAGAAGAUAGUGCACAAGAUCGGAAUGCAAAGGUUCAAGGAUGUUCUUAUUAAGGGGAGCUAAUACGCGUUGUACUCUUUUUUCCUUACGAGGUUUUGUCCCACUGGAUUUUCCUUGUAAGGUUUUUAAUGAAGCAGCCCAUAUGCGUAUUGUUAGACAUUCAAGGGGGAGUGUUAUGAUAUAUAUCAAUUAUAGUGAAUGUCUAUCAAGAUCUAUUUGAUGUCUAUCAGGAUUUGAUGUAUUUGUCUUUUAGUGUGAAACUAGGGCAAAUUCCCCUUAUAAAUAGAAGGGCUUCCUUCAUUGUAAAUCAUCCCUCAAGAGAAGAAAUAACAAUUACUUUCUUUAUUCUCUCUACUCUUCUUCUUUAUUCUUUCUUGUUUUAUAACAGAAUUGAACCUUUUGUAAUUCAUUAAAAGUCUUUGCUUUAGAAAAAAUUGUCCUUUUCACUAUUUUUUCCUAAUAUUUAAGAGUUGAAAAUUAAUUAAAUAUAUUUAUGAUAAAAAAAUUUCCUUAUUAGAAGACAUCAGAAUUUCUAUAUCUUUUUCUAAUUUAAGGGUUGAAAAUUAGUUAAAUAUAUUUAUGGUAAAAUCUUUCCUUAUUAGAAGUCAUCAAAAUUAAUGACAACUUACGCUUUUUCUAUUAGUUUAAGAAUUCUAAAUUAACUAAAUUUGAUUUUAAGAAGAUUUGAAAAAUCUAAAAAUAAAUAUCUAUUAGAAUAAUAAAAAAUUAAGAAGUUCCAGAUUUUUAAAUGUUUUAAAUACCUAAUAAAAUGCAGUCAAUAAAUUUGUAAAGAUAUGACUUUAAAAUAAAGAAACAUUUUAAAUAUAUAUAAAAAAAUAAUCAUAACACAAAUAUGGUUCAAAUUGAUGCGUCUUUCUUAGCCUAUAGCAAUAAGGAAAAGAGAUACACAAACGCAAAAGUGAUAUCCAUCAACCACUUGAGUUGGAAAAUAUAAAUGUGUAUAUGUUUACAAUAUUAUAUUAAAGUAUGAAAGAUUUUUGAAAAAUGAUUUGAAUUUUUACACUUUAUUAAAAAUCUUCGCAAUAGAUAAAAUCAUUUAAUUUCAAAUAAUCAAACGUUAUACGUGCGAUUAAACUAGUAUAUAUAUACACACAUCAAUUUGAAGAGAAAUAAAAUCUCCCUCACAUUUUUUUGACUAUUUCUUGUUACUUUAAGUAUUUUAUUAUUAUAUAUUGAUAAUUUUACUUAGUGAAAUGAAUUUUGAGGAAUAGAACAAAAGAACUAGUUUCUCGAAGAAGGGGGAAGUGGUACCAACCUAGAAAUGUUAAAGCUAGUGUGUUUAGCUUCGUGCCGUAACUUAACUCGGUCGUCCAAUUUGCUUCAACUUCGCUCCAAUAAUCAUAUCUUCCGCUUAGCGCGACUCUCCUCUUCAAGCAGUCAUUCCCAGUCCA
rnacentral:lncRNA from 1 species